rnacentral:rRNA from 1 species
AUACGUAGGUGACAAGCGUUAUCCGGAUUUACUGGGCGUAAAGGGCGUGUAGGCGGUCUUGCAAGUCAGAAGUGAAAUUCCUGAGCUCAACUCGGGCGCUGCUUCUGAAACUGCAGGACUUGAGUGCUGGAGGGGAUAGCGGAAUUCCUAGUGGAGCGGUAAAAUGCGCAGAUAUUAGGAAGAACACCGGUGGCGAAGGCGGCUAUCUGGACAAUAACUGACGCUGAUGCGCGAAAGCGUGGGGAGCAAACAGGAGUAGAUACCCUGUUAGUCCACGCCGUAAACGAUGAAUACUAGGUGUAGGGGGUAUCGACUCCCUCUGUGCCGCAGUUAACACAAUAAGUAUUCCGCCUGGGGGGUACGGCCGCAAGGUUGAAACUCAAAUGAAUUGACGGGG